GUCAGAGGAGACUUCUUCACUAAAAAGAAGAGUUUAAUAUCAGACUUUUUAUUCUUUCAAUAAGAUUUUGUAUUUCACAGUCUCUACCCUUCUGUUUAAGAAUCUGAAAACAGGCAUUUUCUGGUUUACAUUGAAACACAGGAGUCUUAAAUAUCUCUUCAGCUGCUUCCUAAUGUUUGUUCCACAGGAAGGGAGUUAGUUCAUAGCAUAGUGUGCUUUGUUUUAUCCACAUCAGCAAAGCAGAUAAACUCAGCCUCUCUUCAUCUGGGAAAGGGGCAGAAUAGCACCAGGAGACAGGGCAAUACUGAAGGAUUAUUGUGAAUGUUUCAGGGAACAAGACGACUUUCAGGUACCUGGAAUUGUUCCUUUGACUCGGCAUUUCCCUUUUCUGAACUUCAAGAGGUUCCUGUCAACCUGUUCCUCCAUUUGCAAACAUUUGGUGUAGCAGCCACUCCUUCCAGUUUUGUAUCAUCUGGAAACCUGCUGAGAGUGCGCUCUGUCCCACUGUCCAGAUAUUUCUCCGCGUCUCAGGGAUCUGAGAUUCCUGAAGGCUGGUCUUACCAGUAGAGACCAAUGAGAAAAGAACAGUGGAGACUGAUCACUCUUGAGUCUUGAAGAGGUGAUGCUUGAAAAUCAGUCAGCUCUCCUGAACUCCUCCUCUAUUCUGCAGGAUGGUGUCUUAAGAUAAGAUUCUUCCAAGCAGGUCCCUGAACAGGCCCACUGUUUGCUUUCCCAAUGUCCUGGGUUGUUAACUUGCUGUCUGCUCUCAGGAUCCUGAGCUCCAUUACCCUAUGGUCAUGGUGGCUAGGGCUGCUCCUGACAUUCACAUUACCAAACAGUUCUUCUUGUUUGUAAAAGUCAGGUCCUGCAAAGCAUCUCCUCUCUUCACCUCCUUAAUCGCCUGUAUCAGGAAAUUGUCCUUCAGUGCAUUCCAGAAAUCUCCUGGGUUGCUUUUGUCCUGCUGUCUUGCUCCUCCAACAUAUAUCAGGGUUGUCAAUGAUUUCUGUGAGUACCUGGGCUGGUAAAUAUGAGAUUUCUUUUGGCUAUCUGAAGGAGAUCUGAUCUAUUUCUAGCUGAUCAUAGUCUGUAGCAGACACCCACACCGAUGUCACCCACAUUAACCUGCCAGCCAGCCCAGACUCAUAAGCUCUCAGCUGGCUCAUGGCAGAGCUCCAUACAUUUCUACUUCUCUCUCUAAAAUCCUUCUCAUCAUCCUGACCUGUCCUUCCCAAAGAGCCUGUAUCCAGCCUUUGCAGUACUCCAGAGAUUUCAAAAUUCAGGCUCCAUCUACUGAAGAAUUCAAAGUUACAAGAGUGUAUUUUUAGAAAAUUGUGGACUUCUACUCAGCAUACCAGACUCCAUUACAGCACUGCUAAGGUAAUAUCUACAUUUAUAGCUGUCAUUAAUAUGGUAUAUUUAAGAGCUUUAGUUGCAUUUUAUCCUUCAUGGGGUAGGGUAAUAAGAUGUAAUUAAAGGAGUCAGGGGCUGUAUUACAGAAAUAUUUGCCACCACAUGUGUAGCACGAAGAUUACUUUGCAAAGAGACAACUGGGAGCCAAAGCAGUUCAGAGUAUUUCUUCACAUAUUCAUGGCAAAAGCACAAUGGCACUUGUCAUUAAAAAAAAUUCUAACACAAGACCUUGUUCAAUCACUGUGUCUGAAAAUGGCUUAAAUUUGAUUAGUAUGUGCAGGUAAUGGGGACUAGGCAACAGCAUAAAAAUGGUCCUGUUGAUUUAUGUCUGAAGAGUCCAGAUACAUGAUCUACAAUCUGCAGCUGAAAAAAGCUUUUUGCUUUCCUUUUGCUGCAGAAAUCGCUUGGAACAAGGGUCAUCCCAAAACAAAAGCAAUUCAAGCAGCCUAUCUGAGAGGAAGAUGAGGAAGGAAGGAAGGGGGCUUAUUUCAUCUUCCGCACUGCCAAUCAUUUCACAUCGUCCCAGAUUAUGCAAUAUACCAUAGCAGGGACUGUGAAGCAUGAGUUCAUCAGGAAAGGGCACAUUCAUUAGUGCUGCUGCCACGUGUGGUCUCAGAUGUCUGAGGUAGAAAGGUCACAGCCACAGACUUCACAGCAUCACCAUCGGGCCUCAGUCCACACCCACUCCUGGUUAUCCAGGGUUAUGAGGAAAGAGGUUAAACGCUUUCAUGUGAAAUCUGUUUAUCCUGUAGUCAUACAAAGAAGAAUCCAGUUAAAUUAAGUAUCUCCCUUAAGAAUGACAGUUACUACACAGUACAGAUUAAAACAAAAUUGCAUGAAUUAGUGAUCUGAUUUCAUUUUGCAGUGAUGGUUUACAAUGUGUAGUGUCUGACAAUAUAUCCUAAAUUGAGGAUUUAAAAUGUCUAACGAUAUGUAAUGUCUUUGGUGCUCAAACUCUUGUUCCUUCGUUUGCAUCUAAAUCAUGGUGAGAAAAACUGGGUUGGCAUAAGGCACAAGAUUUUUUCUCGUAUAAAAAAAAAAAUCAGCUCUGUUGGAAUAAGGUAAGAUUACAAAACUAAGAGCAAGAUUAUGUCAGAUCAGGGGUUGUUUCAUAUGGUCACAACCUUUCUUUUCCUUGAAUAUCUGGGUUUAUUAUAUUUCAAUAAUCUUUAGAAAAGUGUUGAAAAUCCAUUUUUUAAACUGGUCUUUGUCCUUUAACUGAAUUCCUCACAUAGACAUGCACACACACCCUUAAUCCUUUCCAUUAUGCACCAACAGGCUUCAGUGGAGCCCCCAGUCACAGCACUUCUGAAGUCAAACAUGUUGGGUCUCCUGUGGAAGCUAUCUUGCAAAUUCUUGCAGACCAGAUGUGCGAUCCCAGUUUAAGCAACCAGCCAGCUCUGCAAAUUGCUGGUACAAAUCAGAUACAGUCUUCUUCCUUUAUUUUGUUCUGGCUUAAAGCAGCUCUCUGAGAUCAACCUCAUCCAUGCAAUUGUCCCAAAGAGAAUUGCUAGAUUUAGCUGACAGAUGCAUAAAAUCUCAUGUUGUCACAGAAUUCCCAUGUCUAGUCAGCACCAGAUGUCAAAGAAUGCAAAUCUACAGCUGGGUCUGGUGUUCAUUUGUACUCCAAAUUCCUUCCCUCACAGCUGUUGUUUUCCACCUCCAUGUACAUAAAGCUGAAUUUUCAGAAGGAGAUAGACCAUGGCUCCUUAUAUUGAUGUGAAUAUAUAUGUUUCUUUAUUUGCCUGGAAAACACCUUUUUGGAUUGAAUAAUAGUGUAUUGGUGAGGGUAUAUUUGAGUAUGCUCACACAUCAGUAUUGAAAACAACUUUGCUUAUCUUAUAAUCUCUUCUCAACAAGUUCUGUGGAACCAAAGUUGUUUUUCCAAGUAGCUCUUUAGAGGUACAGAAUUGGAUUGUCACCCUUGCUUAGGCCUCCUGGGCACCAUGGAAACAAUAAGCAUGGCCACAGUAGUACAAAACAAAAGGUCUGUAGACAUGAGGAACUGCAGAGCAGUGUUUCUUCAGUUAUCUUCAGGGGCCUUUGCUGGCCAUUCUUAGUGUCUCUCAGGAAAGGAAGCUCUAGCCUGGGACUAUAAUGACUGUUUUGAAAUUUUGUUCUCUCAUGUAGAUAUUACCAGCCUGCACAGCUUUUGAAAUAUUGUCAGUGAGCACCAUUAAAAUAAUAUGUCUGCAAGAACUGAAUUGAUGUGAAUUUUUCCUUUUCUUUUUCCUAUCUAAAUAAGUGGAAAAUUUGAAACAACAGGUAAGGGUGACUACAGCAGUCUACAUGUUUUCCUGAGCUUCCUGUAAAUGAAGUCAAGGUUCAGAAUUUCCAAGGUUCACUUCCAGUGACCUCAAGUGUAGCUUAGAUUUCAUUUCCUUAAAUGAAAGUAACAUGCACAUGGAGACCUUUUCUUUCCACUUACUUUCCACUAUCUUCAAUUCAGUGUGAGUUCUCUGUUGCACAAAUACUAGUCACAAUCUAAGAAAAUAUUUGAUUUCUCACACCUCUGUAUUUCAGCCAGGCAAGAAAGUUGGUUUUCUCUAGGGCUGAGGACACAUUACUGUGUUUAAAAGGGAUGAGUCUUAAAUUAUGAGAGUGGUGAGUACUCAGAACACAGGUUCAAAUUGAAACAAAAAGUCCGAAAUAGACAAUUACAUGUAAAUUCCUGAUUUUUAAGGAAAGCAUAGCACACACUUUUCCAUUGCAACAUGCCUUAUAUUAGACUCAUAGUUUCUCAGAACGUUCGUCUUUUCCUGAACUGUUUUUAUUGACUUCAGCCAGACGAAGAUAUUGUGGUCUUGGUUUUAUCCCCUGCAUGUUUCAAUGCCUGCACCAAAUGCAAUUCCCCUAACAGCGCUGUCUCCCUAACUUCACUGAAACCUGAGGUUUCAGUGGUAAACCAGCAGUGCUGUACGGAUUUCUCAUCCAGUACCUGUAAAUAGCAUAGACUCACCUCACUGGAACUACUACACACUUCAAGUCAUGACCUGGCUUGCAUGAAGCUAUCCCAGCUCUGUCUACAUCACUGCUACCCAAUGCUUCCAGCUCUCGCCCUAGGGCAAGCAGAGCCAGGUCGGGUACCUGCAUCUGUCAUAUGAAUACUCAUAAACGUUCACAUUGCCAAUAAGAUUGAAUCAAAUAAACAAAUCUGGCUAGAAAAUAAUGAAAACUUGACUCUUAAGGUUGCAUAAGCUGAUGCCAGAGUCCUACUAUUCUCAUGAAAUGCUUUAACAUAACUUGAGUGAUAGCUAUGAAACACAAGAGGAACAAAGACGUAGUGUGAAUCCCCAGGUAUUUCUGUAUUUAUUAACUGUGGCUGUAAGACAGAGCAAUGGUAAUGAAAAUGUUAAGUGGCAAAGGCACUUUUGGGAAGUCUAGAAGUGUUUAUUACUACUAUUAUUAUACACAUAUCCACAAUAUCCAUUUUUUAAAGUAGAUAAUAGCAUCAAUUUAGGAAAGCACUGAUUUAAGAUUAAAAAAAAAAAAAGUGGUGUUUAAUGGUUUUACAUUAAGCACUAGCAGAGCCAACCACUAUCAGAUAAGAGGAAAGGAGAGAAAAGAGUAUAAAAUACUUUGUUUGAAGUUAUAUGACCCAGCACAAAUAGCCCUAGUGACCAAGUAGUCCCAGCAUCAGAUACAUGUACUUCAAAUCACAAGGGGAAGUUUUGACAAGUUGAGCCUGAUCUGUCUAGGAUCUAGUGCUAGUGCUCGGAGUGACAGAAACUUUUAUUUAAUUCUGACUUCCUGGAGUUUAUCCUGCAUAUUUUUAAAAGUAUCAGCAAGUUGCAUUUACUUAUUUGGCAUUGAAUGCUUUACAGUGACAAUAUCUCAAUGAACUGUUUAUUAAAAAAAUUAAAAAUGUGUUUACCUAGUUAUAUUUUUAGAUUAGUGACUGUUUUUCUGAAGGAAUAGAAAGGAAUUACUCCCAUGGUAAAAGCAAAUAUUUCUGAAAUUGAUGAAGAAAUACAUGUUCAGGUGUUAAAAACAAAAAAAAGCCAAACAAAAUACCCUAACCUAGCCAGAGAUGACAUUUAAAUAUGAUAAUUCAUGAAAAGAAUAUUAAAAUGUUGAACAAAUAUUAAAGAAAGAGGAAGAGUUGAGAAAGGCGGGGAAGUCAGGGACUUCUUCAUACUCUGUGUAUCAUCAAAAAUACAUUAAAUCUGAGACUGAAAGAUGCUGAGAAUCAAACUGAGAGAAAUCAGCAGGAAAACAAAGUGCCAGUUGUGCCCAGAGUAAAGCACAGAGGAUGCAUGAGGAGGGGGUUAAAAACCUGUCUGAACUGGUGUUUGAAAGGUUUGGGGGAAGCAUCAUUCUGAGACAAAUGGGCAGCUGGGCAGCAGUUGCAUAAAAAAAUAACUGUGGGGAAAAGUAGUGUCACCUAUGAAAAUCAUUGGGAAGGAGGGUUAGAGUUUCUUCCCUCGCAAAGGUUUUCAUUCACAGGAAGAAAUAAAGGACAUUUGUAAAGAAAAAAGUAGUUUGUCUGAGCCUGCCCCUCAUGCUAGAAACAUCACUGCUGUCAGAAAGGAAACACACAUUUUCAGCCAGCAGGUUGAGAGUCAGUCUCCAGUUGCCUCAGUCUCCAGGAGUCAAUAUGCAGUUGGAGAUGGACACUGUGCACACUGAGCCCUGGCAGCACCGGCAUGAGAAAUGGGGCUUGGGCACAACAGCCAGGCUGUGGAGAGCAGCCAUCGCUGCUCAUUCUGUGCUUGCUGUAUAAAAUCAGACACCUCUGGAUUAAUUAUAUUGUAUGCCUGCUUUAUGUUCAUUAUCAUAGAAAUUUGUCUCAGAAGCACUGCCUUCUGCCUG